GAAGAAAACCACGCGUCGCCUCUCUCGUUUCCACGCGCCGCCGCCUCCCUCGCCUCCUUCCUCGACCGACAGUGGCCGACGGCGAUCUGGUGCGCUGCCUCCCCCGCCCCUUUAUCCCCUCUCAGUGCCUCCCCCGACCCCCUUUCCCCCCGCGCUCCUCUAGGGUUUACGUCCACAGGGAGGGCGCGUGAGAGGCCGGCAACAGGGAGGCCGGCGACGGCAACCAACGGCAGACUGUCUGUGGCGCCUCCCCGCCAGCCCCCUUCGCUCCCCUCUCAACGCCUCCCGCUGGCCCCCUUCCUCCCCCCUCCUCUAGGGCUUUGCGGCAGCGGCAGGGGCAAGGGCUGAAGGCACCGGUGGACACGCUGCGGCUGGUGGCGUGGAGCACGCUGUGGGCAUCUUCCCCGGCCAGCCGGACAGUGGCGUUUAUUAGGAGGAACCUGUGAGCAGCUUUUGUAUCAAGUCUACUUCUCGCGGGAAGAGGGUCAACAAUGGAAUUGGGUUCAAUUGUUAAAGACGGCAAGGCCUUGAAAGUCGCAAAGGUUGUUUACAGAGAUGGUGACCAUAACUUGGAGGUUUCUUUUGACCCAACUCAAACCCAACCUAGUGUGCCUGCAAUGGGAGGGGUAGAGGAGGGUGAGCCAGUAGCAGCAGCGAUGGGAGGGGGAGGGGGGAGUGUGGCAGUGAUAAUGGUGACGACAGGGCAAGAGGAAUUUAUUGCUUGUAAUAGAAUCUAGCAGUAACAGAAUUUAUUGCAUGUAAUAGAAUCUAGCAGUAACACUGCUAAUGAUUUGUAGUAACUCAUGUGUAUGUCUGGCAGUAACACAACUGUUUUGGUAAUGUGUCUAUGUACACCCAUGUUUAUAAUUACCAAAGUUGACUGGAGGAUAUAAUAAGAUUGCAGCAAUCAACAUUACGUCGUGUAUCUAACGUUCAUGACAGCAAGACAAGUUGAACAUUGUUUUUACUUUUUCUACAGUAACAUAUGAGUAAUUUUGCAGUAACAUACAUGUAUCAUGGUAGUAAACAUACUGGUAACAUGUCAUUUCAACAGGCAUCAGGAUAAACCAUUUAAAUAUUAAAUCAAUAUUUUUACAGUACUAGGAGCAUGUAAUAUAUCAGUGAU